AAGUGAGGCUGACUGAAGUUUGUGUCUGUGGAGAUGGGAGUUUGUAGACUGUGGUCAUCAUGGAACCGGCAUGGACCUGACCUAGACGGUGAUGGUCGCUGGGGAUGGCUUUGAUGGCUGCUCUCUUGUGGAAAAUGCUAAAACUCAUCACUAAGUCUCCCCUUCAGUGGUUUUGCAUGCACACUCUCACAGAAGUAAUACUAAAGUGUUUUGGUAUGAAAUAGCUUGAAGCCUUGCUUUAAACAUGAGAAAACCAGAUGAUGGGCGCCUGGCUGGCUCGAACGAAGAUCAUGAACCCUCCACCACAUGGCAAGUCUGCAGAUAGGUGCUGGAUGAACACUGGAAGUGUGUAUUUUAUUAAUUGAGGCCAGGAAGAGAAUGCACUAGAGAAAUACCCAGGGACCAGGAUACCAACAAGAGAGGGCACGCGUGUGUGAGGGGAUGCCAUCCUCAGAGUUCCCUCCGUCAGUGCCCGGGCCCCCACGUGUCCUGCUGACUCACCCUGAGAAGCAGGGGGCCAGACGGUCUCUUGGAGAGACGAGUCUAAAAGGACACUGCUGGCCUGUCGUCAUGAGUCCUCUUCCCAGAGUCAAGUGGGAUGGACCGUUUCACACACACACCCUCUCCCAUGAGCACUGCCUCUGUCUCAUGAGGCCGCUGCCUACUCGCUCCUGGUGAGGGCUGUUUCAUCUGUGCACAGCCCGUCUUGAGGGCUCAACGCUCUACCUCCAUAGGGCAAAGGUAAACACAGCGUACCAACCAGGGACCGUGAACUGCCAGGCCCUGCUAAUGAGCGCCUCCGUGCUCACAGACAAGCCAGGGAAAGGAGGCACACCUGCAGGAGAGCUCUCUUUGGGGAGCUAGGAGCAAAGCCCGGGGGCAGGGAACGGUGUAAUACAGAUACGGCUCAGCUGACAUGAGCCCGCGGGUUCUUCUGAGGUUAAACCUGACCAGAAGAUGCGGAAGGACACCUAGAACAAGAUCCCUGUGCCCCCAGAGAUGAAUAUGAACAUGAGCACUCGGUGAGGGUUCAAGAAACAGCUGAACUGGACCAAACUGAUUCAGGAUGUCUAAGUGGCAACGCCUGUGAUUGGUUUGCAGGGCCUCCAGUGAGCCCAAGCCUGAUGGUAAGCGACUGAGAUGUGAAGGCAGAGAAAGAUUUUCUUUUCCCAUAAAAUCAAGGGGAUGAGCAUCAAAACAGAGGUGAGAGCUCGCCCAUAACGAGAUUCAGAAGAAGUGGAUGGCAACAGAACUCAGCUGGCUAGAGGAAGCAGGUGUUCCUGCUGGUGACGGAGCACAUAGUUAGCUUCGUGUCAUGCUAACGAAUGGCACUGUUCCCAAGAAGCCUGAACCUACCUUGAUUGCCUAACACCCAGCCGAAUUGCACUUACCCUCCAGCUAGAAUCGUUUACUGGAUUCUGAACAUUAGGAACAGAAAGACAGUUAAUUGACUAGAUCUAGCUUCCAGGAACUUAGCCCAUCUCAGGUCUCCUGGGCCUAUAGGGGGCACUCCAGAGCCAAGAUACCUGAUUGUCUUGCAUUUACUUGUUGUGAUGUUUUGUGUCUUUAACAAAUUAUUGGCCCCUAGGUCACUGUGACAGGGCUCAAUAAAUAUAAACUUGUUUUGUGCAAAUCCAUGUGAGGAACAGAUUUUAAGUGACACAGA